AAGUCGUAACAAGGUUUCCGUAGGUGAACCUGCGGAAGGAUCAUUACAGUAGUCAUCCGGGUUGCCGCAAGGCCUCCCGGGUAACCUACCACCCUUUGUUUAUUACACUUUGUUGCUUUGGCAGGCCUGCCCUCGGGCUGCUGGCUCCGGCCGGCGAGCGCCUGCCAGAGGACCUAAACUCUGUUUGUCUAUAUUGUCUGAGUACUAUAUAAUAGUUAAAACUUUCAACAACGGAUCUCUUGGUUCUGGCAUCGAUGAAGAACGCAGCGAAAUGCGAUAAGUAAUGUGAAUUGCAGAAUUCAGUGAAUCAUUGAAUCUUUGAACGCACAUUGCGCCCCCUGGUAUUCCGGGGGGCAUGCCUGUCCGAGCGUCAUUACAACCCUCAAGCUCAGCUUGGUGUUGGGCCCCGCCGCCCCGGCGGGCCCUAAAGUCAGUGGCGGUGCCGUCCGGCUCCGAGCGUAGUAAUUCUUCUCGCUCUGGAGGCCCGGUCGUGUGCUCGCCAGCAACCCCCAAUUUUUUUCAGGUUGACCUCGGAUCAGGUAGGGAUACCCGCUGAACUUAA
rnacentral:rRNA from 1 species